CCCGAUGCUAUUUCUAGAGAUGAAAGUUACUUCGGUACAUCGGUGGACAGGUGGUGGCAUGGUUGUCGUCAGCUCGUGUCGUGAGAUGUUGGGUUAAGUCCCGCAACGAGCGCAACCCCUAUUGUUAGUUGCCAUCAUUCAGUUGGGCACUCUAGCGAGACUGCCGGUAAUAAACCGGAGGAAGGUGGGGAUGACGUCAAAUCAUCAUGCCCCUUAUGACCUGGGCUACACACGUGCUACAAUGGUUGGUACAACGAGUUGCGAGUCGGUGACGGCGAGCUAAUCUCUUAAAGCCAAUCUCAGUUCGGAUUGUAGGCUGCAACUCGCCUACAUGAAGUCGGAAUCGCUAGUAAUCGCGGAUCAGCACGCCGCGGUGAAUACGUUCCCGGGCCUU
rnacentral:rRNA from 1 species